GGGAACACUAGCUGGAGCAAGAUACUGGGAUGAUGAUGUCUCAGUUACUGUCAUUCUGUGGACUAGAACCAAUGCAUGCUAUAUAGAAUGCAUAGAUGCUAUACCUAAGUUACAGGGCCACAAUUCCACAUCUGGAAGGACGAGUAGGGAGCAUUUUCAAAUGGUCUUCCUCUAACUCAGUUUGAUAGGGACAUAGAUGCUGAGAGUAUCAAUCCUGGUGACCAGGCACUGACAACUUCACCUACUAAACGAUUUACCACUUCGUCAAAAUUUCAGUUCCUUCGCUGUCCUUCUCUCUUUCUACCACUAAGUUUUGUCUGGGUAUGUAUAUUUAUAUUUUGUUUGCUCACUUUCUUUUUUACUCUCUUGAAUUUUCAUUUAUUUCUCGCUUAAAUCCAUUUUAUUGCUUAGAAAAUUGAGUUAAAGAAGAAGAAAAUUAAAAAGAAAGCAUGGGUUUUUGUUACUUUUUGUGCUUUUGCAAACACCUAUUCGAACUGGUAUGAAAUUAUGAACUUUUAUUUUUAUUUUUUGUAAUUGGGAUUUUAAAAAAGAUUGGUUGGAGAUCGAGUGGAUUCAUUCAUUUCUAGGGUUGGAUUUCAUUGUAUGGUAUUCAAAUUUGGAUCUGUAGCUGUAGAUUUGAGCAAAAAAGUUUUUGGCUUCUUUGUUCGCAUUGAUUCGGGUUUGGAUCUGAGUCUUUUCUCAAUUCCAUAGCUAAUUCACUAGGAACAGAGAUUUUCAUUGCUAAUGUCUUAAAAAGCUCCUUUUUUUUUUUCUUCAUCUUUGUGCUAUAAUUGAAUUUUUGAACUAUGGAUAAUUGUUGAUACAGUCGCGGAAAAUAUGUCUAAAAGGAAAGAAAAGUUAUUUGUUACUUAUUUUAGAAUUAGUUCGUUGAAUGAAUUUGGUUCCUUGUUAGAUUUUGUUUAAUUUUUAGAUUCCAAGAAACGCAUUUGCUACAGUUUGGUGCUGUUCUUUUUCUUUUUUAUUAUUUGUCUUUAAUCUAGGAUUGUAGGUUUACAUAACUAUAAGUUGAAAAUUGUGCUUAGCUGCAUUUGUUGUGAUAUACAGCUCUAUUUAUUCAAUAGGUGUUCCUUUUGUUAGCUAUUAAUUGGUGCUGUUUAUUUGCAUUUUAUUUUUGUUUGAUCAUUUAGCAUGGAGAAAGGUAAAUAUCAUAGAUGUAAUUAGUGUUUGCUAUGAUGCUGAAUGUGGAACAUAUAUUGGACUGCAUUUUUGGGAAAUUUGAUAAAUUAGUUGGUUGAAAGGUGAUGUCUUGUGAGAUAUGGUUAUACUGGGUUGACAAAACUGCAAAUUACCACUCAAUUUGUAUAGGCUCUCGGCUCAAUUUGGGGAUGAUUCUAUGUCAUGAUUUCAGCCAUUGAACCAGCUAGUUUUGUUUGUUUACUAUGGGUGGUGUUUUGUUUUAAGAUACAUUUUCUGGAAUCCUAUUUCCCUUAGACUUCGAUAUAAUUUUAUUCUGAUAUAGUUAAUUUUAUUCUAAUAUAACUCUGUUUGGUUCUCAAUUUAUAGCCAUUAGAAGCAACCAUAUAUAUAUAUAAAGUUAGGUUUUGCUUUAAAAAGUUUGAUAUCAGUCAUGUUAGCUUUAUUUUAGCUUUAUUUUCAUCUCCAUUUUUAUCUUUGAAUUGGGUUUCAUUGCAAAAUCAAGCAAUGCCUUUAUUCUCUUGUUCUGUAUUGUGGGGACUAUUGUGUUUUGGUUCUUAGUUCGUUAGACCCAUUUUUUUCUUUAUGCAUACAACUUGUAUUCUGAGGUUAGAAAAGGUAUAAUCUUUGAUGGAAAAUUGAGAAAAUUGAUUAAUGGACUUGAUAUGUACACUGGCAGCACUCUCUUCAUUUUAGAGACAAAAAGUUAAAUCUCUUCAAUGGCAAUAUUGACUAAUAAAUUACUUUUAUUUCAAGCUCUAUGUUCUUAGUGUUUAUACAGCUUCGUGGGCACAUUUACCAUUGAACUCGCUUUUUGUGUUUUUGACACUUGCAUAUAGUUCUCUUAGAGACGGGAUCUAGCUUAACAUAUAACCUACUCUUGAUUCCAGAUUUUCCAUUUGACUUUACUUUCUUUGCAAGUGACAACCUUCUCUUGCUUCCCUCAUGAACUUUAGAUAUAUAUAUAUAUAUUUUAUUCUUAGCAUUUGUUCAAUUUCUAUUUUACUAUAUUUGUUUUCAAUAAUAGUUCAGUAAAGCUGCAUACCUUUUUGAAAUUCAUUAUGAAAUGUUUGGAACUGUUCUGCUGAGGACAAGGCUGCAUAUUUUCAUGAACACCUCUUGAUAUUGUUGCGUAUCUAUGCAAGUGCACUGGAGAGAAGAAGAUUAUGAUGUGUUGUACAAUUGGACACUGGUGCUCCAGGUCUAACAUUGUGAUCUUUAAUAGUUUUGGGACCAUUUGUUGUACUUUAGGAGUAAUUGGCUGUGACGUAUAAUAUUUCUUGCAACAAAUGAUGCUUUUGGGAAAUUUAGUUUAUUCUUUCGUUGCGUGGAUAAUGCAUCCUUGCAUAUGUUCACAUGGAACUUAGACACACAUUUGUUUGCUUACUUUUGGGACUUAUUUGUUUUAUUUGCUGACGCUGAACUGGACCAGAGAACUCGAGGUAAGAGGGCUACACUAGCUAAAGUUACUUCUGGUUGUUCUCGUCUAUGUCUAAUGCUUUCAUUUCUUCUUUUCAAGGGAUCAAAGUGACUUGCAGGUUAUCAUAUUUGAUGAAAUUGAUUCAAUUUGUAAGUCAAGAGGUUCAACUAGAGAUUGUACUGGAGUUCAUGAUAGCAUUGUCAACCAAUUCCUAACAAAGGUAUGGAUGACACAAGUACCACUAGUUCUCGUAAGAAGGGGAAACCUCGAAGGUUUUGGAAUCACCGUGAGGAACUCUUUCUCAUUAUAACCAUGAAGGAUGUAACCGCAAGUAAUCACAGGUGGAAGCUUGAUAAUAAUCAGUUUAGGGCAGCUUCUACAAUGAAUGUGAGAAGAAGAUCUUAAGUGCAUUUUUUGGAACUGAUCUUCAAGCCACUCCUCACAUCAACUAGAAAAUUAAGUUAUGGAGGAAACAAUAUAACACUCUUCAAGAUAUGUUAAAGAUAAGUGGUUUUGAUUGGGAUAAUGAACAAAAGAUGGUGCUUGUUAAUAGUGACGACGUAUAAUAGAACUAUGUCAGGAGGGUAUCAGAUGCAAAAGGGAUGCGAAACAGGCAAUUCCUGUUCUAUGAAGAUUGGCUUAUUCUAUUUGGAAAGGAUAGAGCGACUGGUGAACUGGCUGAGGAUCCUGCUGAUGCAGCUACAGCCAUGGAAAAUGAGG